UCACUCUCUUCUUCAUGUCUAAUAACCUAGCUAUAACAAAUGCACACACAAAAAAAAAAAAUGAAAUUGAAUAUUGUCAAGAUGCUUGAAAUGUUUUAAUAUUCAUGUAUGUAUAUGAUUAUGUAUGUAUAUAUAUAUAUAUAUGUAUAUGUAUGUAUAUAUAUGUAUAUGUAUAUAUAUAUAACAUAGUAUAGUAUUAUUUUAAACCGUUUAACCGGUAGAAGUCAACUACCCAAAAAUGAAAUUGUUAGAGCUGCUGCUUUAGAACUCUUAAUACUUGGGUGUCUAAUUCGUUUUGUACUUUUUUCUUUUUUUUCUUUAGAAUGCCGCAAACACAGGACACAGAAGGUGUUCCUGUAUGAUAGGAUUUUAAGAAAAAGAGUUGCAAAUGGAAGAGCAGAAGUGAAAGUGAGGUGGCAAUCAUGCACAAAAUGUGGCAAGGCCUGGAAGGACACGUGGGAGCCAGCUGAGCAGUAUCAACAGAAAUAAAGUCCUGUUUAGUUCUCACCUGUAUAUGUUUCAAUAUGUUAUAUGUUAAUUCUGCCGUUGGAAUAACACACACACACACACACACACACACACACACACACACCAAAAUAAUGUUCAAUAAAAUAUGUUUUAUGGUAUGUUUGUUGUCUUUUUAAAUAAUUUUUGGAUUUUUUUCUUUGAUAAUGGCGGACAGUUUUUAUUCUUGGUGGAAAAUAUGAUAUUGUAGUGCCAGAGGAAAGGCAGAACGUAGGCAACGUAAUAAGAACCGUUUUAAUCCAGAAAACAAAGCAGAACAGUGGGUCUGUUCGAAACCACCUACUUGCUUCAUACUCUUACUAACUAUGACGUCAAAUUGAGUAAGUAGAACGUAGUAAGCGAGUUUUAGGUAAGCGAGUAGUAUCCGAAUGUCUUCUACUUCCGGAAAGAUUUUGUGUAAGCAUCGCUAGCUUACUAGACGUACUCAACCGCCCCAGAAGGCACUGCGUCUAUUCAGAAGAACAAUGGAAGCAAUGGCGCUAAACGGGGAGCCGCAGCAGCAGAGCCCACAGCUAUACAUUCUAUAUUAACUGGCAAUCUAGCAUUAGGACAAAGAAGAGGAAACGCGGGAAAAUCUGACAAUAGACAAGAAAAAAUAAUAAUAAUUAAUCAUAAUUAAUAAAUGUUUUUUUUAAUAAUUGUUUUUAACAUAUCACCGCAAAUCCUUAGGUUGAAGAUGUACUGUGACGUGUAAAUGUGACGUUUAUAUAUUUAUUCAUAAUAUUUAUUAACGGCGCCCGGCCGGUAGGUUAUUGACACGU